rnacentral:rRNA from 1 species
ACGGGGUGCAGCAGGCGCGAAAACUUCACAAUGUGGGAAACCGCGAUGAGGGGAUUCCAAGUGCUUGCGUUUUGCGUAAGCUGUUCUCCUGCCUAAAAAGCAGGGGGAGUAAGGGCUGGGUAAGACGGGUGCCAGCCGCCGCGGUAAUACCCGCAGCCCAAGUGGUGGUCGAUAUUAUUGAGCUUAAAGCGUCCGUAGCCUGUCUGGUAAAUUCUUGGGUAAAUCGUGCAGCUUAACUGUCCGAAUUCCGGGGAGACUGCCAGACUUGGGACCGGGAGAGGUUGGAGGUACUCCUGGGGUAGGGGUAAAAUCCCGUAAUCCUGGGAGGACCAUCAGUGGCGAAGGCGUCCAACUGGAACGGAUCCGACGGUCAGGGACGAAGCCCUGGGUCGCGAACUGGAUUAGAUACCCAGGUAGUCCAGGGUGUAAACGCUGCAGACUUGGUGUCGGAGGUCCUACGAGGGCGUCCGGUGCCGGAGAGAAAUUGUUAAGUCUGCCGCUUGGGAGUACGUCCGCAAGG